rnacentral:lncRNA from 1 species
GUAUCUUUGACUUCUUUUGCUAUAGUUAUUCUUUCAAUUUAUACAUUUUUUGGAGAUACCCAGAUGAAACUGUUGAUAAAUGUGGAAUCUUUCAAAGAAUUCUUGGUAUGUGCAAGUGUUUUGAUGUGAUUUUGGAGAUACCCAACUGAAAUUCUCUUUAAAUAUGCAGAUUCUGAUAAUACUCUUGGAAUUUGACUAGGGUAUGUGUUUUUGAAGUCUAAAUUAGUUCAGUGGUUCUUGUUUUGUUUUUGUUUUUGUUUUUAUUUUUUGUUUUUCCAACUAUGCUUGAUGAGUUUGGUUUUUGGGGUUUUCAUUUCUCUAUUUGAACUAUCUUCAUUUCUUUACUUUCUGAGCUAAUUGUUGUGCGUCAGUUUUAACGGUUAUGUACCCCGGGAACAUUUGUUCUACAAUUUGUGAAGAUUUUCAUCAAUAUCUAACUUUGAUCCAUAAGAGAGUUGGUAUGGACGCAUUUGGGGUUUAACAAGAUGUUCAUUUUUUAUAAUGGACUUAACACUGGCUCAACUCGCAGUGAUUUACCUGAUUUAUAAUGAUAAAUGUUUUUGCGAGCAAAAUUUUUAUAAUGAUAAAUGUUUUUGCGAGGAAAUUGGGAGCUUUUAUUAUGAACACUAUGUUAGAGUACUUGACAAGGGAGAGC